UCGUAACAAGGUCUCCGUUGGUGAACCAGCGGAGGGAUCAUUACCGAGUUUACAACUCCCAAACCCCUGUGAACAUACCAAUUGUUGCCUCGGCGGAUCAGCCCGCUCCCGGUAAAACGGGACGGCCCGCCAGAGGACCCCCAAACUCUGUUUCUAUAUGUAACUUCUGAGUAAAACCAUAAAUAAAUCAAAACUUUCAACAACGGAUCUCUUGGUUCUGGCAUCGAUGAAGAACGCAGCAAAAUGCGAUAAGUAAUGUGAAUUGCAGAAUUCAGUGAAUCAUCGAAUCUUUGAACGCACAUUGCGCCCGCCAGUAUUCUGGCGGGCAUGCCUGUUCGAGCGUCAUUUCAACCCUCAAGCCCAGCUUGGUGUUGGGACUCGCGAGUUAAACCGCGUUCCCCAAAUUGAUUGGCGGUCACGUCGAGCUUCCAUAGCGUAGUAGUAAAACCCUCGUUACUGGUAAUCGUCGCGGCCACGCCGUUAAACCCCAACUUCUGAAUGUUGACCUCGGAUCAGGUAGGAAUACCCGCUGAACCUAAGCAUAUCA
rnacentral:misc_RNA from 1 species